GGUAAAAUGGCUGAGUAAUAGCAUUAGACUGUAAAUCUAAUCAUAGAGGUUUGAGCCCUCUUUUUACCA
rnacentral:tRNA from 1 species